rnacentral:lncRNA from 10 species
CAGGAGGAUCGCUUGAGGCCAGGAGUUUGAGACCAGCUUGGUCAGCACAAUGAGGCCCUGUCUCUACAAAAAAAAAGUCAAAAUAUUUGCUGGUUAUGGUGGCGUGUGCCUGUAGUCCCAGCUACUUGGGAAGAUGAGGUGGGAGGAUUUCUUGAGCCAAGGUGGUCAAGGCUGCAGUGAACCAUAAUCAUGCCACUGCACUUCAGCCUGGGCAACAGAGUGAAACUCUGUCUUAAAAAAAAAAAAAUAGAGGGAGAGAGAGAGGGAAAGAGAGAGAGAGAGAGAGAGAAGAUUCUAUGAAAUUUAGAGAAUUUCAUUUUCAACAAUCUAAAACAAAAUAGUGAAAUCAUGUGGCAGAAAUUCUUACCCAUUGCAGGUGUUGCCAGAGUCUGGCGUCCCACUAGCUGAGCAGGGCCAAGGCCAUCCAGGAAAUCACUGAACUGGCUAUCAGAGGCCAAGCGAACACCAGGGAAAAUCAGACUGAAAGCAAAAUAACAUAUGAGAUUAAAUCCCCAACCCCUAUUUAUUUUCAGGUAAGCUUGGUUUCAUUCUAGCCUCAUUAUUGUGGCAAGACUAGUCCUAUUAUUUUGUCACUUAUAUUUACUGGAUCCAAAUACCCAGUUCCACCUCCCAGGACUCUUCCUUCAUAUUCUCAGCAGCCCAAGUAUGACACCAGAAGCACCUGUCACACUGCACUGCAGGCUUCUGCUGGCCCUUUAAAGAGAGAAGGUUAAAUGAGGCCAUUUGCGUGGUGCCCUAAUCCAAUAUGACCCAUGUCCUUAUAAGAAGAGGAAGAGACACCAGGAGUAGAUAAGCACAGAGAAAAUGCUGUGAGAAGACAUCACAAGAAGGUGGCCAUCUGCAAGCCAAGGAGAAGAGCCUCAGGAGAACUCAAACCUGCAGACACCUUGAUCUUGGACUUCUAGCCUACUGAUCUGUGAGAAAAUAGAUUCCUGCUUUUUAAGCCACCCAGCCUGUGGUAUUUUAUUAUGGUAGCCCUGGCAAACAAAUAUACUCUCUUUUCUCUCAUUACCCACAUCAAAUGCAUCAAUAAAUCUUACUUGCUCUACUGUCAAAAUACAUUCAGAAUCUGACCUCACUAAUGCUACACUCUGGUCCAAGCCACCAUUCCCUAGCUUCUGUAUUCCUGUAGCAGCCUUGUGAAUGCUCUCCCUGUUGCUGCCCUUGCUGUCCUGGCCCCUUGCCCCCUCAGCACUCAGACUGAUAUGCCAAAAACGGAAGUCAGAUCCUGUCACUCCUCUGCUCAAAACCAUCCAACAUCUUCUCAUCCCACUCAGUAAAAGCAAAGUCCUUACAAUACAUAAAGUCUACAUAAGCUGCCCCCGCCCCUGCCACAUGCCCUAAUUCCUCAUCCUUUACUGCUCUCACCCUUCCUCCCCAGUGCUGCCCUCCUCACUGCUGACACCAGGCCAGCUCCUGCUUCAGGGCCUCUGAAGCAAUCUUCAUUCUAGAAUGUUCUUCCUUCAGAUAUCCCUCUGCUCACUAAAUUCCUUCAGAUCUUCACUCGAAUAUUUCCUUUCCCCGUCUAUCCUGUGGCAAAUCUUACCUCCACCGUCUUGAUCAUCUCUCUUCCUUGCUGUAUUUUUCUCCUUAGCAUGUGUGCUAUCUAAUCUACUAUAAAUUUUACUAGUUUUUCUUUUAUAUACAUUUUAACAAUUUUUCUUAUUGUUUGUCUUCUCUAUGAGAGUGUAAAUGUGAUGAGAGUAUUUUAUUUUUGGGGAGAUGGGGUCUGCUUUGUUCACUGCUGUAUCUCUAGCAUCUAGAACCAUGCCUGAAAUAUUGUAUGUUCUAUAGAAGUAAAGGAAAGGAAAGGAAACAAAAGAAAAGAAAACAAACAAAAAAAAUAAAAAGGAAAGAAAGAAAAGAAAAGACCCAGAUGAGAGAACCAGACCUAUAUGACUGCAAAGCCCAUAAUCUUAGCCAUGGAGAUUUACUCCCUCCCUCCUAUGACUUACAUCCCCAACGUACAGCACAGUGACUGGCCCACUGGAAGUAAAAGAACCAGGCCUUCACACAAUUUACAAAGAAACAGAUGAUCUGUACUUGAUCAUGCAUCAGUCCACUGAUACCUGUGCCUGUUUCUGUCUCAAGAAUGGAUGUGAAAUAUCACCAACCUCUUCGUAACUCUCAAGUUAGAUAUUUUGAGGCAAUAUUUUAUGGUUGGAUGAACACGCCAUUUUAGAAUCAGAUGAUAUGAGUUCAAGUUCCUAUUUGACUAUUUGCAAAUUUUGGGCAGGUAACUUAUCUUUCUGUAGGUCA